AAAAAUAUCCUCCAAAUACAAACUAAAAAUCUUUCAAGUACGAAAAAAAAUCCUCCAAGUACAAACUAAAAUCGUUCAAGUACAAAAGAAUCCUUCAAGUAUAAAAAAAAAUCCUACAAGUACAAAACAAAAUUCUACAAGUACGAAAACCUGUCACGUGACUUUUGGCACUAAUUUUCCGCCUUGCUGAUCCACACACACGCCUUCAGAUCCACACACAUGCUUGUAAAAUGGGAUGUAAUUCGCACUCCACAACAGCAGGUGGCGCUGUUACCGACUUGCUUGCCGCCGCCACGGACAUGGAAAGAGAAGAGAAGAAGAAACGCUAGCGUGAGGAGGGUGUUUUGAACACGAUGAGCUGCCAACAGACUACAAGCUAGUCUUGAUGUCUUCACCAGUGGAUGGGAUAAUCACCCACUUAGAACUGAGGGUAACCUAACACCAAAUCAGCUGUGGGAGAUGGGGAACAUUCAGCAUGCUAUGGCAGAACCAGAAAAUGCAGAGGGAUUGUACCUACCACAUUUGGACUGGGAGGACAGUGGCCUGCCUGAGGAGCCACAACAUGGUGUCACUGUUCCUGAGAUGGGCAAUGUACUGAGUGAUGAACAAAUGGCAGCACUAAGGAGAGAUAUAAAUCCCCUGGGACACUCCCAAUCACAUGGCUCAGACAUCUACCUACUUACCGUCCAGUAUGUCCAGCAAUUACUAGGCUUACAGUAAAACCUACUAGGCGAAGGAGCUGAUUUUGUGCAAUUGUAACACAAAUACACACAUUCUCUACAUACACAUACAUUUGGGACACUUAUUAACAUCUCUAUCGUUUCUUUUCACACUAAAACCACAAUAAAUAUUUCUGAAUCAGUUUUGUAA